CAGGCCUAACACAUGCAAGUCGAACGAGACCUUCGGGUCUAGUGGCGCACGGGUGCGUAACGCGUGGGAAUCUGCCCUUGGGUUCGGAAUAACUCGCCGAAAGGCGUGCUAAUACCGGAUAAUGACGUAAGUCCAAAGAUUUAUCGCCCAAGGAUGAGCCCGCGUAGGAUUAGCUAGUUGGUGAGGUAAGAGCUCACCAAGGCGACGAUCCUUAGCUGGUCUGAGAGGAUGAUCAGCCACACUGGGACUGAGACACGGCCCAGACUCCUACGGGAGGCAGCAGUGGGGAAUAUUGGACAAUGGGCGAAAGCCUGAUCCAGCAAUGCCGCGUGAGUGAUGAAGGCCUUAGGGUUGUAAAGCUCUUUUACCCGGGAUGAUAAUGACAGUACCGGGAGAAUAAGCUCCGGCUAACUCCGUGCCAGCAGCCGCGGUAAU
rnacentral:rRNA from 1 species